UACGAAGGGGGCUAGCGUUGCUCGGAAUCACUGGGCGUAAAGCGCACGUAGGCGGAUUGUUAAGUCAGGGGUGAAAUCCUGGAGCUCAACUCCAGAACUGCCUUUGAUACUGAAGAUCUUGAGUUCGGGAGAGGUGAGUGGAACUGCGAGUGUAGAGGUGAAAUCGUAGAUAUCGCAAGAACACCAGUGGCGAAGGCGGCUCACUGGCCCGAUACUGACGCUGAGGCACGAA
rnacentral:rRNA from 1 species